rnacentral:lncRNA from 1 species
CUUUCGUGCAAAAUGCAAGUUUCUCUCUGCUUGGGUGGAAUGGACACCUGGUUGGCAUGUUUCCCCAGCAGAGUCGGGUUCUCUUCCAGACAAAUGGGGAAUGUGUUUGUAUGUGUGAACAGCCUGGUUCGGUCUCCACCUGUGAACACAGCAAUAAUCCCUAGGUGCCUCAUUUCCUCUGUAUUCAACUGGGAAACAUCUCCGGAUUUCUAAGCUUCCAGCCCCAGUCAGUAACCGCCCAGUCUUGGUGGCCAGACCUCCAGGCUGAGCCAUGUGUCCCUCAGCCUGAGCUGUGCAAAUUCUGCCCUUGCCAGGAGAGGAGCUGACAGUGCAUUCGAUUUAUUGAGUUUUAGACAUUCUUUCCGGCGUGGAUCAGAACAGAUAUUUUUGUUCUGAGCGGCAGGUCCCAGGCAAGCUGGGAACAGUGCCUAGUUACGGGGGAGCUCGGGGAAGGGGUGCACUUGGUUCUCAAGCAAUUAUCAUCCUCCAACAGCUAAACACACCCCAAAGCGAUCCAUUUUCUCACUGCAGAGCAAAGGCAUCGGAUCGGUUUUUGUGGUAACUAUGCAAUUAGCUCUCCCUGGCACUGCGGUGACUUCUUGGGGAGUGUGUUUGCUACAGAGCACAGUGACAACUGAUUGUGAUCUACGACAUAACAUUUCAGAAAGUGGACUCUGAUUUCAUAUCGUGGAGUCAAGCCUUUCAUCAGAAACAGUUUACUGGCUAAGUUAAGACAGAGGUCCAGGAGGGGCGGCCCAAGCUGGUUGUAAGGUGGGGGUCAGGAGGGGCCACUGGUCUGUCUACUGAGACAGUCUGCUGUCUCAUGAUCCAGCCUCUUAAGAGACCCCGAGAGGCUGUACCACAGAGCUCUCCUGUAAGUCCCUGUCUUUGGAUAUCCUGGCUUUGUGCAGCUAGAGGUAUUCCAAGCACUGGGUGCUUUAUACAGAGUCUGCAGGAGAAGCCACGUGCAAACCAAGGCUCAGAAUAAUCGGGAACUGGGAAAUCUCAGCCUCGAGAAGCCUGAAGUCAGGCGGGAAGAGUCCUACAGUGUCCUGUGCGUGCCAAACAAGACAUUGUCCUAGCUGGGUGUGGUGGUUCACAACUUGCUCAGCAGGUGAAAGUGCUGCCAUCUACUCUGCCAUCCACCCUGAUGAAGAAACCAUGGGGAAAUUAACAAGGGCAGCUGUGGCGCACACCCCUGUCACUUCUACACUCAGGAGCCUGAGGCAGGAUUGUGGGUUCCAGACCAGCCGGGCUGUAGAACAGUCCUGUGUCUAAAAGAAGAAGUCAUCGAGAACUGGAGAAUGCAUGCAAGCAGGCCUGGUGGCUUAAAUGAGGAGCAGCAUUUGUGGUCAGGCUGACUCCACAUGGUGGAAAGGGAGCUGAUGCCUGCCAGCUGUUCUCUGACUUCCACAGGCACGGAACAAAGGAGCCACCACACUCUGUGGGAAAGCUGUGGCAUAACCCUGGGAUGAAAUUCUGAGCUGGAGAGAUGGACAGUGGUUAAGAGCAUUGACUGCUCUUCUAGAGGACCUGGGUUCAAUUCCCAGCACCCAUAUGGCCGGUCACAACUGUCUGCAACUCCAGGAUCUAACACCCUCACAGAGAUGUACAUGCAGGCAAAACAUCAUUCCAGGACAGCUAGAGGGGACCAAGAAGAGAUGUUAAGGACCUUUCAAUUCACCAUUCAUUCAAUUGAAAGUCUCCUCCCUCCAGGCUGCAGAGAGAACAACUAAAUAUUUACCCCUGACAAACAUCAUUGGGGUGGAUGACCCAAAUCGCCCCGGUGACGAUUCUAGGCUGCAGUGUUUUCCUGCUGUCGGGAACUUCCAGAGAGAGGUCAGCCAGGUGACCUUCCAGUGGCCCAUCCUCAGUAGAGAUGCCAGAGAGACCUGUGAAAGGGCCUUUGACUCUAGUGUGCUGUUUCUUGCCUCCUUCUAGAAAAACUUAGCCACUGUUUCUUUGCUUUGCCAGCAGGAGUCUCUGUGAUUUCUGAUCGCUGCAUGCAGCGGCCUCUCAGCAGAAGUCUUACCUUGUUGUCGAUGUAGGGAGGGACCCUUCCAUCCUUGGCUGGGAUGAACUGGGGAGGCUGUGGUCUGGGAGUGAAAGGUGCAC